UACGUAGGGUGCAAGCGUUGUCCGGAAUUAUUGGGCGUAAAGAGCUCGUAGGCGGUCUGUCGCGUCUGCUGUGAAAACUCAGGGCUUAACCCUGAGCUUGCAGUGGGUACGGGCAGACUAGAGUGCGGUAGGGGAGACUGGAAUUCCAGGUGUAGCGGUGAAAUGCGUAGAUAUCUGGAGGAACACCCGUGGCGAAGGCGGCUCUCUGGUACGUGACUGACGCUGAGGAGCGAAAGCCAGGGGAGCAAACGGG
rnacentral:rRNA from 1 species